GACGAGCCUCACGAACGUUAUUCGGAAUUACUGGGCUUAAAGGGUGCGUAGGCGGUGCGGAAAGUUGGGUGUGAAAUCCCUCGGCUCAACCGAGGAACUGCGCCCAAAACUACCGUACUCGAGGAAGAUAGAGGUGAGCGGAACUUACGGUGGAGCGGUGAAAUGCGUUGAUAUCGUAAGGAACACCCGUGGCGAAAGCGGCUCACUGGGUCUUUUCUGACGCUGAUGCACGAAAGCUAGGGGAGCAAACGGG
rnacentral:rRNA from 1 species